UGAGGAAUAUUGGGCAAUGGACGCAAGUCUGACCCAGCCAUGCCGCGUGAAGGAUGAAGGCGUUCUGCGUUGUAAACUUCUUUUAUUAGGGAAGAAACCUCCGUUUUCUAAUGGAGCCGACGGUACCUAACGAAUAAGCACCGGCUAACUCCGUGCCAGCAGCCGCGGUAAUACGGAGGGUGCAAGCGUUAUCCGGAUUCACUGGGUUUAAAGGGUGUGUAGGCGGAUAUUUAAGUCAGUGGUGAAAUCUCCAGGCUCAACCUGGAAACUGCCAUUGAUACUAUUUAUCUUGAAUUCUGUUGAGGUGGGCGGAAUACAUCAUGUAGCGGUGAAAUGCUUAGAUAUGAUGUAGAACACCGAUUGCGAAGGCAGCUCACUAAGCAGACAUUGACGCUGAGGCACGAAAGCGUGGGGAUCAAACAGG
rnacentral:rRNA from 1 species